GUGAAUCAUCGAAUUUUUGAACGCAAAUUGCACUCCCUGGUAUUCCGGGGAGUAUGCCUGUUUGAGGGUCGUUAGAACAAAAAUCGAAGCGUCGCUCUUUUUUUUUAGGGUGAUUGCGUCGGAAUUGAGGCGGCCUUCGGAUGUUAAUUCAUGUCAAAGUGGCUUGAAAUUCAUCCCUCCGGUAAGCAUAAAACGUAUUUAAGAUCAAAUUUGAUUAAGAA
rnacentral:misc_RNA from 1 species